rnacentral:rRNA from 1 species
GGGUUGUGAGGUUAAGCGACUAAGCGUACACGGUGGAUGCCCUGGCAGUCAGAGGCGAUGAAGGGCGUGCUAAUCUGCGAUAAGCGCCGGUAAGGUGAUAUGAACCGUUAUAACCGGCGAUACCCGAAUGGGGAAACCCAGUGUGAUUCGUCACACUAUCAUUACGUGAAUACAUAGCGUAAUGAAGCGAACCGGGGGAACUGAAACAUCUAAGUACCCCGAGGAAAAGAAAUCAACCGAGAUUCCCCCAGU